rnacentral:rRNA from 1 species
UAAUACGUAGGGUGCAAGCGUUGUCCGGAAUUAUUGGGCGUAAAGAGCUCGUAGGCGGUUUGUCGCGUCUGCUGUGAAAACCCGAGGCUCAACCUCGGGCCUGCAGUGGGUACGGGCAAGCUAGAGUGCGGUAGGGGAGAUUGGAAUUCCUGGUGUAGCGGUGGAAUGCGCAGAUAUCAGGAGGAACACCAAUGGCGAAGGCAGAUCUCUGGGCCGUUACUGACGCUGAGGAGCGAAAGCGUGGGGAGCGAACAGGAUUAGAUACCCUGGUAGUCCACGCCGUAAACGUUGGGAACUAGAUGUAGGGACCAUUCCACGGUUUCUGUGUCGCAGCUAACGCAUUAAGUUCCCCGCCUGGGGAGUACGGCCGCAAGGCUAAAACUCAAAGGAAUUGACGGGGGCCCGCACAAGCGGCGGAGCAUGCGGAUUAAUUCGAUGCAACGCGAAGAACCUUACCAAGGCUUGACAUAUACCGGAAAAGUGCAGAAAUGUACUCCCCGCAAGGUCGGUAUACA